rnacentral:rRNA from 1 species
AUUGAACGCUGGCGGCAGGCCUAACACAUGCAAGUCGAGCGGGGUUUUCGGACCUAGCGGCGGACGGGUGAGUAAUGCGUAGGAAGCUACCCGGUAGAGGGGGAUACCAGUUGGAAACGACUGUUAAUACCGCAUAAUGUCUACGGACCAAAGUGUGGGACCUUCGGGCCACAUGCUAUCGGAUGCGCCUACGUGGGAUUAGCUAGUUGGUGGGGUAAUGGCUCACCAAGGCGACGAUCCCUAGCUGGUUUGAGAGGAUGAUGCAGCCACACUGGAACUGAGACACGGUCCAGACUCCUACGGGAGGCAGCAGUGGGGAAUAUUGGACAAUGGGCGCAAGCCUGAUCCAGCCAUGCCGCGUGUGUGAAGAAGGCCUUCGGGUUGUAAAGCACUUUCAGUAGGGAGGAAGCGUUGUGUGUUAAUAGUACACAGCGUUGACGUUACCUACAGAAGAAGCACCGGCUAACUCUGUGCCAGCAGCCGCGGUAACAC